rnacentral:rRNA from 1 species
AGCGAACGCUGGCGGCAGGCCUAACACAUGCAAGUCGUACGAACCUUUCGGUGCGAGUGUCCACCGGGUGAGUAACGCGUAGUAACACGUCAUUAGCCUCGGAAUAACUCUGGGAAAAUUGUGCUAAUAUCGAAUGUGUCCUUCUGAUGAUAGAUUUAUCCCCGUUAGAGCUUCCCGCGUCUGAUUAGCUAUGUGGUUGAGGUAAUGGAUCACCCUGGCGACGAUCAGUAGCUGGUCUGAGAGGAUGAUCAGCCACAUUGGGACUGAGACACGGCCCAAACUCCUACGGGAGGCAGCAGUGGGGAAUCUUGCGCAAUGGGCGAAAGGCUGACGCAGCCAUGCCGCGUGAAUGAUGAAGGUCUUAGGAUUGUAAAAUUCUUUCACCGGGGACGAUAAUGACGGUACCCGGAGAAGAAGCCCCGGCUAACUUCGUG